GGGGCUGACCGGUAUUGACGGGGUGAUUGAUUGGCAUGUAAGCAUGUAGUGCUUUGGACAGUUGGCACUUGAAUAUCAAUUUCCAAAACUAUAGUUGGCGAAACUUCAUUCGCAAUGGCUGCUUAAUCAGGACGAUUAGGUAAGCUUUCGGUUCGGGAGUGCUUAUCUUAUCGCAUUUUCAUUAGAACCGUCAUCAGAUAGGGUCUGUAACAUGUUUGCCACUGGCAUGUGAACAGUAUACAAAGGGAUAUAGAUUUAGUUGGUAAGCGUAACAGCCUGCUAAGUUCGAACACAAUGUUGCGCUAAACGUGAAGAAAGCAUGACCAUUGCACUUCCGGACGAGAGUUCGAAUCUCUCCAGCACCACAA
rnacentral:tmRNA from 1 species